rnacentral:lncRNA from 1 species
UUUUUGUUUUCGUUUUCGUUUUCGAAUUGUUAUUUGUUGUUAUUGUUGAUUUUUCUCAUCUGGGAUUCUCUGUAUAUUCUAUUAUUCUUUGACGGAUAUGUGAUUUGAUGGGAAUUUUAAGACAUAAUAUGAAUUUUAUUAUAUCAAAGAAUGUAUUUUUAUUAGAGAAUAUGGCGAGGAGAGAUCUAAUUAGGGUUGGGAUUUACUUGUUUGUACUUGUUUGUUAUUCAUUUGAAGAUAAAUAUGAACAGAGGAUUGAAUUGUAUGUUGGGAGGGGAUAAUAUUGCAAGAUACAAGUAUUAAACUAUUGAAUAUCAUUUGACUGGAUGAUUGUGAAAACAGGAUCAGGAGAGGGAUUGCAAAUUUAUUUAUUCGAUUAUGUGGCAUAUAUUGUUGGAGCAUGAUCUAUGAUCAGUUAGUAUGUUUUUUGUAAUUAAUUAUAUCUGUGAUUGAUUGUUUCACAGUGGUUAUUAUCCCUAUUGAAUUCCUUUACUGAGGCUAUUUACGUUGGAUGCUUUUUUUCAAACUAAAGCAUCUUGCAGCCUAGUUUCAUGAGAUUUUCUGAAUUUUUCUUCUUGCAACGUGGCACUAAUAUGCUCGUGGAACAUCUUCUCGAAUCAGAAAAAUAGGAAGUAAUGAGAUUUACAUGCUUUAUCACGACUGUGAUUGAAUGAAUGCAUUAAUAUAUUUUAUUACCAAUCCAAUCAUAGUCAACGAGCCUUAUCAUGUCCUAUUGGUGCAGGGUUAACUUAUAUAACAUUUUCCCGAUCAGCUGAAUUUGUUUAANCGAAGAG